rnacentral:lncRNA from 1 species
UCACCGAUGAUGCCGAUUGAUGACUCUGACGAGGCCUUUAUCGACUAUCCUCUUCAAGAGAAAUUCAGCCCUACUGGACUCUAUAUAACCUAGGCUAUUUUCUCUGUCCACAUGCAUGUGGGUCAAAAUUUCUACCCCACAUGCGUAAUGUGUUAGGAUUUGAUGUCUCGAGAUUUGAUCCAUACUAAACAUAUAGCGAGGUCUACGAUGACGAACAGAGUCCAACAAGUUUAAGAUCAAUCCAAAUGAAGAUCAGAUGAAGGAGAUACGC